rnacentral:rRNA from 1 species
AUCCACCUCUUCCCAUUCCGAACAGAGCAGUUAAGCCCCUCUACGCCGAUGGUACUUGGCGGGAGACCGCCCGGGAGAGUAGGAAGUCGCCAGGA